UCGACGGUUGCUGAUUACAUCGCACGAUUUAAGGAGUUUCAUAUAAAGUGCAGUGUAAUAGAAGAGGAGACUCUUACCCUCUCUAGGUUUCGGGCAGGACUCUGCGAGAAGAUCCAGAAAGAUCUACUCCGAGAGAUUACCACUCUUAACCAAGCAUACUAGUUGGCUCAAGAUGCAGAUACUUUCUUAAGACUACCUGUGGUGAGGCCUAUUGAUCCUUGACCACUAGCCCCAGGAGUCCGACCUAACUAAAAUUAUCUCCCACAACCUAGACCGCUUUUCAAUCCUCCUAAUCAGCCCGACCCAACCCAAGCACCGACUAGGACCUCCCCGAUGUCUGUCUCGAACCCUUCAACUGAUAAGGAAAAAGGAAUAUUAGGUUCCAACCCUCCUUCUCGAAGCCAAACCUAAUGCUUCUAGUGCCAAAAGUCCGGCUACAUCGCGUCCCAAUGCCCUGCCAAGACUUACUUGAUUACUAAACCAGAAGCCGGGAUUCAAGAGAUCGAAUAUGUCGAAAAAGUCUAUGAACCAAAUAUAAAGACUAUGUUGAAGACUUUGAAGAUGAACCCAUAUUAGACUUUGUCCAAAAUGAUUUCCAAAGGAAGACUAUU
rnacentral:lncRNA from 1 species